rnacentral:lncRNA from 1 species
GAAUAUUUGUUUGCAGCUUCAACUGGCAGAUGAAUUCAGGGGCAGUGCUGACAUCCUAUUGCCAAGAAAAAUCUAAGAAUACACGGAUAUCCUCGCUGUCACAUUAGUAUAUGACUGUGUCUUCUUUAGAUCUACCAUCAGUUUCAUGAAAGCUCACCAUUUAUCCCACUCUGUUGUUUGCUGCCCUGUGACAGGAGAGCAGAGGUUUCAUCUCAGCAUGACUCAGCACAUCUCCCAAGAACUUUUCUUCUCUGAAAAAUAGGAUUUGGAACCAGGAAGUACUCGAGCCACAUAUCCAUGAACCAAAUCAGGAGCAGAAGUCAGAGUACAGCAUGCCACCUUAAUUAUACCUCGAUUAAAUCACGAUAUACGUCACCACUUGGCAUAGAUCCUUCGAAGCCCAGCACCACCACCCUGCCUCAUGGGAACGUGUGCCGUUACUACCAGCGUAAUUGUUGGAGCAACAGACACAUUCUCAAGCAGGAGACACUUCAGCAGAAAACCAAGAAAACAACAAAAGAAAAGAUAAGUGAUGAUCUCAGUAAUUCCAUCUAUACACCACAGAAAAGCUAGAUUUGAAGUUAAAAAAUAAAGUGGUAGUACACCAAAAAAUUUGAAGGAAUUCCCAGGCACUACAUGUAUUGUCCCAC